GACGAACGCUGGCGGCGUGCUUAACACAUGCAAGUCGAGCGGUAAGGCCCUUUCGGGGGUACACGAGCGGCGAACGGGUGAGUAACACGUGGGUGACCUGCCCUCAGCUCUGGGACAAGCCUGGGAAACCGGGUCUAAUACCGGAUAUGACUCCAUGACGCAUGUUGUGGGGUGGAAAGCCUUGUGCGGCUGAGGAUGGGCCCGCGGCCUAUCAGCUUGUUGGUGGGGUGAUGGCCUACCAAGGCGACGACGGGUAGCCGGCCUGAGAGGGCGACCGGCCACACUGGGACUGAGACACGGCCCAGACUCCUACGGGAGGCAGCAGUGGGGAAUCUUGCGCAAUGGGCGAAAGCCUGACGCAGCGGCGCCGCGUGAGGGAUGACGGCC
rnacentral:rRNA from 1 species